rnacentral:rRNA from 1 species
GAUGAACGCUAGCGGCAGGCUUAAUACAUGCAAGUCGAGGGGCAGCAUGAUUGUAGCAAUACAAUUGAUGGCGACCGGCAAACGGGUGCGGAACACGUACACAACCUUCCAACAAGUGGGGGAUAGCCCAGAGAAAUUUGGAGUAAUACCCCGUAACAGAGCGAUGUGGCAUCACAUUGCGAUUAUAGAUUUUUCGCUUGUUGAUGGGUGUGCGGUUGAGUAGAUAGUUGGCGGGGUAAGGGCCCACCAAGUCUACGAUCAGUAGCUGAUGUGAGAGCAUGAUCAGCCACACGGGCACUGAGACACGGGCCCGACUCCUACGGGAGGCAGCAGUAAGGAAUAUUGGACAAUGGACGCAAGUCUGAUCCAGCCAUGCCGCGUGAAGGAUUAAGGUCCUCUGGAUUGUAAACUUCUUUUAUAAGGGACGAAAAAAGGCUUUUCUAAGUCGUCUGACGGUACCUUAUGAAUAAGCACCGGCUAACUCCGUGCCAGCCGCCGCUGUAACAC